AUUGAACGCUGGCGGCAGGCCUAACACAUGCAAGUCGAGCGAGCGGCGGACGGGUGAGUAAUGUCUGGGAAACUGCCUGAUGGAGGGGGAUAACUACUGGAAACGGUAGCUAAUACCACAUACCAUCAGAUGUGCCCAGGUGGGAUUAGCUAGUGGGUGGGGUAACGGCUCACCUAGGCGACGAUCCCUAGCUGGUCUGAGAGGAUGACCAGCCACACUGGAACUGAGACCCGGUCCAGACUCCUCCGGGAGGAAGCAGGGGGGAUGAUUGCACAAUGGGCGCAAGCCUUAUGCAGCCAUGCCGCGUGGGUGAAGAAGGCCUUCGGGUUGUAAAGCACUUUCAGCGGGGAGGCGUUACCCGCAGAAGAAGCACCGGCUAACUCCGUGCCAGCCGCCGCGGUAAUUC
rnacentral:rRNA from 1 species